GUACCCCCUGCAUAUAGUCUCAUUACUAACCGGUGCCCCUGCAUAUAGUCUCAUUACUAACCGGUACCCCCUGCAUAUAGUCUCAUUACUAACCGGUACCCCCUGCAUAUAGUCUCAUUACUAACCGGUACCCCCUGCAUAUAGUCUCAUUACUAACCGGUACCCCCUGCAUAUAGUCUCAUUACUAACCGGUACCCCCUGCAUAUAGUCUCAUUACUAACCGGUACCCCCUGCAUAUAGUCUCAUUACUAACCGGUACCCCCUGCAUAUAGUCUCGCUAUGAUUAUUAUUACUGCUGCUCUUUAAUUAUUUGUUAGUUCCUAUUCAUUUUUUUUACUGUAUUGUGACUAAUCAAAUUUGAUUUGAUUUCAAUCUUUUCUUGCCCAUUCACCCUCUGAAUGGCAAAGAAUCAUUAUUUAACCCGUCUCCUCCCCUUCAUCUACACUGAUUUAAGUGAAUUUAACAGGUGACAUCAAUAAGGGAUCCUGGAUUCACCUGGUCAGGCUGUCAUGGGAAGAAUGAAUGUGGUGUUGGAAUGUGCUAAACAUUGAGAUACUAAAUGUAUGAUAGGAAAUGAAAGAGACUGGGUGUUCUGUUUAGAAUGGUUCUCUGAAGAAAGACAGAAGGCUUUGGAAUGUGUUUGAUGGAGGAGAGGACAGAGAUGUGUUGAUACAGGGGAGACAUCUGGGUAUUAGGUGAAGGAGGGGUUGAGGUCAGAGGUCAGGACAGAGAUGUGUUGAUACAGGGGAGACAGAUGGACAUCUGGGUAUUAGGUGAAGGAGGGGUUGAGGUCAGGAGGUGAGGACAGAGAUGUGUUGAUACAGGGGAGACAUCUGGGUAUUAGGUGAAGGAGGGGUUGAGGUCAGAGGUCAGGAGGAGAGGAGAGUGAUGUGUUGAUACAGGGGAGACAUCUGGGUAUUAGGUGAAGGAGGGGUUGAGGUCAGAGGUCAGGAGGAGAGGAGAGUGAUGUGUUGAUACAGGGGAGACAUCUGGGUAUUAGGUGAAGGAGGGGUUGAGGUCAGGAGAGAGAUGUGUUGAUACAGGGGAGACAGAUGGACAUCUGGGUAUUAGGUGAAGGAGGGGUUGAGGUCAGAGGUCAGGAGGUCAGGACAGAGAUGUGUUGAUACAGGGGAGACAGGUGGACAUCUGGGUAUUAGGUGAAGGAGGGGUUGAGGUCAGGACAGAGAUGUGUUGAUACAGGGGAGACAGAUGGACAUCUGUGGAUUAGGUGAAGGAGGGGUUGAGGUCAGAGGUCAGGAGGUCAGGACAGAGAUGUGUUGAUACAGGGGAGACAUCUGGGUAUUAGAUGAGAGGUUGAGGUCAGGACAGAUUCUCUGAAGAGAGUAAUUUAAUGUUUGGUAUCCUGUUACCCUCUUUAUUAGCUUCCUGUGGAGCCAUGAGACGUAGGGAUGGGAGAGAAAGGGGAGUGUCUUAAGGAGGAUGUAUUUAAACUGUGAAGUCUGAAAUCUUUAGCUGUCUGAUUUUCUGCUGUACAGAACCUUUGGGAAAUGAUUAAACUUGGUUAAAGCUU